AUUGGACGCUGGCGGCAGGCCUAACACAUGCAAGUCGAACGGUAACAGGAAGAAGCUUGCUUCUUUGCUGACGAGUGGCGGACGGGUGAGUAAUGUCUGGGAAACUGCCUGAUGGAGGGGGAUAACUACUGGAAACGGUAGCUAAUACCGCAUAACGUCGCAAGACCAAAGAGGGGGACCUUCGGGCCUCUUGCCAUCGGAUGUUCCCAGAUGGGAUUAGCUAGUAGGUGGGGUAACGGCUCACCUAGGCGACGAUCCCUAGCUGGUCUGAGAGGAUGACCAGCCACACUGGAACUGAGACACGGUCCAGACUCCUACGGGAGGCAGCAGUGGGGAAUAUUGCACAAUGGGCGCAAGCCUGAUGCAGCCAUGCCGCGUGUAUGAAGAAGGCCUUCGGGUUGUAAAGUACUUUCAGCGGGGAGGAAGGGAGUAAAGUUAAUACCUUUGCUCAUUGACGUUACCCGCAGAAGAAGCACCGGCUAACUCCGUG
rnacentral:rRNA from 1 species